UUUAGAAAAAAGGCAGAGAGGAGGUGAGAGGAGAUCACUGGAGACUCCGUCAGGGGACAAGACACGUCCUGAGAAGCUCGGACGGAAGGAAAACACACCCGCGCACACGCUGCGGAUGAAAGGCCAUCACACACACACAUCUCUGCUCGGAAAUCAACGCACGGACCUGGCUCCCCACGAUCACGGAUACAAACAAUCCAACCAGGAUAUUUCCUCCUCCCCAGCCUUGGCAGAUGGGAUUUAUCGAUCUGAUCCUCGCGCUCACCUGUUUGUCCAACCGAGGCUGCACACAAACUCACGUGUCCCGCACAUCUGGAUCCUGAAUGAUGCUACCCGCCGUCCCCAUCAGCACAUGUGGAUGUUUAGUCUCCAUGGUUGCAGGAAGAAUCUUGCACGAUGUGAAAGAAGCUUCAGACUUACCUUUUGCUGUUACAGCAAACAACGGAGCCUGUUCCUGUCUUUGGUUAUCUAGCUGUAUGAGUGUUAAUCAUCCAUCAUAAAGCUAGAUAACCGAAAGUAGGAAUGACCUCCAGACCCUCCAUUUCCUGCUUUUAUGUGACUAAACAAAAAGAGGACAAAGUGUCGUUUCAGAAAAGGACCAUAAAGAUGCUGAUGUCAUCUCGCAGCUGAGGAUCUUCAGAGCUCGUGCCAGUGUGUUAAUCACGCAGGGCAAAGUACGAGGGUUUAACUCUGUGCAAUCAUGCUGCAGAAAUGACGAGCUCCUCUGCUUCAUGUACGAACUUCAGCUGCCAAGUUUUAUUAUUAUGACAAA